AGAUAGCCGCCGCAAGUCCAGGCUGCGAGUGGAUGAGGCUGGGGAGGCGCGGUCGCCUCCAGGACCCAGGGCCUCCAUGGCUCCGACGAGGGCCGAGGCUGGCCUGGAAGAGCAGACGUGGUGCGAUGAGGACACCGAGGUUCUGAGGGAGAAAUGAUUUGCCCAGAGGCACACAGCUGGGCUCAGCUUAGAGGUCUCCCGACCUUUCGGGUUCCCAGCGGUUCCUGAGCUUCCCCCAUCACAGCAGUCAACCCUGCACUGAUUGGCGGCCGUGUACUAGUGAUUCAGUCUCCCCAUGUCCACCCCUGAGCUUCCUGAGGACAGGCCCUGCGCUUACCCAUCUCUGUACCGUCAGUGCCUGGCAGAGCAGUUUCUAUGACUUCAGAAAGACAAGAAGCCACCCUGAGGAGCAGCCCCUGGGAGGACUGUCACCUACUCUAGGGCUGUACCAGUGGCAUAGGAGCUAUGGCU